rnacentral:rRNA from 1 species
CCCUUAGACGUUCUGGGCCGCACGCGCGCUACACUGACCAGUGCAACAAGCAUCCGUCCUUGGCCGACAGGCUCGGGCAAUCUUUGAACGCUGGUCGUGAUGGGGAUAGACUUUUGCAAUUUUUGGUCUUCAACGAGGAAUUCCUAGUAAACGCAAGUCAUCAACUUGCAUUGAUUACGUUCCUGCCCUUUGUACACACCGCCCGUCGCACCUACCGAUUGAAUGGUCCGGUGAAGCCUCCGGAUUGGCGCGCACCUCGGUGCCGCCGAGAAGUUGGCUAAACCUUACCAUUUAGAGGAAGGUGAAGUCGUAACA